rnacentral:rRNA from 1 species
GAUGAACGCUGGCGGCGUGCCUAAUACAUGCGAGUCGAGCGAACAGACGAGGAGCUUGCUCCUCUGACGUUAGCGGCGGACGGGUGAGUAACACGUGGAUAACCUACCUAUAAGACUGGGAUAACUUCGGGAAACCGGAGCUAAUACCGGAUAAUAUAUUGAACCGCAUGGUUCAAUAGUGAAAGACGGUUUUGCUGUCACUUAUAGAUGGAUCCGCGCCGCAUUAGCUAGUUGGUAAGGUAACGGCUUACCAAGGCGACGAUGCGUAGCCGACCUGAGAGGGUGAUCGGCCAGCCUGGAAGUGAGACACGGUCCAGACUCCUACGGGAGGCAGCAGUAGGGAAUCUUCCGCAAUGGGCGAAAGCCUGACGGAGCAACGCCGCGUGAGUGAUGAAGGUCUUCGGAUCGUAAAACUCUGUUAUUAGGGAAGAACAAAUGUGUAAGUAACUAUGCACGUCUUGACGGUACCUAAUCAGAAAGCCCCGGCUAACUACGUG